GAAAAAAAAAAAAAUAGAGAAGAAGGCAACGAAAGAGAAAGAAAGGCAAGAAUCUCUCAUUCCCGUAGGUGACGGUCCCCGAAUCUCUCAGGCAGUCUCUCUCUCUCUCUCUCGAUCGAUCCAUCUUUUUUUCUGCAAUUUUCCAGGUUUCUUGGCGACAGGGAAGAUAUUAUUUCGCCAUGAAUGAGACAGAUGUAGAGGAACAAAAGAAAGGAAAGUAUGUUCUGAUCCGUGAUGGUGGUGAUGAGGAGGGCAAUGAGUUAGGAGGACUCUUCUAUAAGCCUCUUCCUUGCUUUGGUCUUGGAAUCGGAUGGCUCUCGUUUCUUCUUGGGUUCUUCUUCCCGUUUGCGUGGUACUUUGCCACAUUUCUAUACCUCACUAACUAUUACCGUAGGGAUCCACGUGAGAGAUCUGGUCUUGCUGCCUCUGCUAUUGCUGCUUUGAUAUUCACCGUUGCACUGCUGAUCACCGUGCUUGUUCUUGUUUUCUCGGGUCGCUAGAGUCAUCCGUUGUAUAUUCUUUCUAAAGAGAGACAGAUUCAAGCCUGUUUCAACAAGUAAAAUUUUUCUAUCGUUGAUAUAGAAGAGAAUGUUGUGAGGUUUCAAAGAGAAGACUUUGCUACCAUUGUCAUUGAGUUUCUUUGAGCUGGAGAAGUUGUCUUCUUUUGAGAACCAAGAAGACAACAACCAAGACCUGCAACAUUGCUGCUAACCCUGCAAAGACUAGUCCCACCGUCUCCCCUUUGUUUAAUCCACCUCUCUUUGGUUCAUCUGGUGAUCCAAACCUCCGUGGCUCAGGAGGCGGUGGAAGGGAUUCUGACCUGGGCUGCGGAGGCUGCUGUUGAGGAGCAGGUGAAGGCAGAGGCACAAUUGUCUCUGCUACUGGAGGUGGUGGAAAAAUGUCUGUCACAUUGACAAGUGGUGGAGGUGCAGAAGAAGGCGGUGGUGGUGGCGGAGGAGGUGGUGGUGGUGGUGGUGGAGGUGGAGGAGGUGGUGGAGGUGGUGGUGGAGGUUGUGCAAAGAAAGGUGGUUCUUGUGAUCUGACGAGGAGGAAACAUAAAGAUAGGGAGAGAAACAAAAUGUGGAGGAGGCUCCAAUGUCUCAACACAGAAUCAAGAAAAGCCAUUUAUCAAGAGAAUGAAUCAAAAACGUUUUCCUUUUCUUCUUUACCGCAAACCAAAUGUGACAUCUGGAGAUGAAAAGGAAAAAAAAGGAACAACAGAAACAGAGAAAUGGAGGAAGUGGGCUGGAUUCAGAAAGAAUAAUUAAUCAAGUAACCAAUCGUGAAGUCUGUGACAAAAAUAAAUUCUGAGGAAUCAAGGUGAGAGAAAAUACAACUAAGACAAAAUUCAGAGAGAGAGAGAGAAAUGGUAAACAUUAUUUCCCGGGAAUUAUAGAGAGAGAAAAUAACAGACUUACUUAUUUGAGCUAAAUAUGGUUGGUAACAAGUUCAGUUAAAGUUUUGUUUAACUUUGUGCACAAAAAAGAUAAGGCAUGGGCAUUCAAAAUAUCCGUUUCUGGUUCAGGUCUGGUUUUAUAGGUUCUGAUUCCUUUGGAACUUAGAGAUUCGGUCCAUCAAGAUAUUUAUAAUUUUCCGGUUCGGUUUCGGGUUAAUUUCUCUCGGUUCCGGUUCCGGUUCCGGAUCGGUUCUGUUACAAAUAUUUGAUAUACAAAAAUUGUUUCUGGUUUGGUUCGUUUUCCCUUAAUCCAAAAUCUGUUAAAAUUUAACCAAAAACAGAGCCACGCCAAUAAUUUUUUGGGAUAAAAUUUAAGAGAAACCAAAGCCAGCAAAUGAACAACUCCGGUUAAAUGAAUCUAACCAAAACAAAAGUUUGUAUAUAAAUCUCAAAACUGUACCUUUUGGACGGGAAAGCAGCCUUCUCCAAAUGGGUCAUAGAUGAGCAUGAUUGUUAUCUGAGCUCACUGACGAGACUUUACUUUCUGUUUGCUAAAUCUAUUAGUGGGAUUAAGGAUUAGAGGCUGCUGAAAAAGAUUGAGAGAGGGAGAGCGACAGCGACUUCAUACAUAUUCGAAAUAGAUAGGCUAUUUAGUUAUAUUCAUUUCUGAAUGACUGAUUCCAUAAAAGCCAAAAAAAAAAAGAUUUGAAUUUUGGAAAACUAACUUGUCUACAUAUCUUGUAAAUACAACAUCUUUUAUUACACCUCGGCUUAGACGACAAGUUUAACUU